GGGAGGGCCCCCUCAGUGGUGCCACUGUCCAGCUAGAGGUUGGCUGCUGGAAGACUCCGCUUCUCUAGAAUUUCAAGAGGACUUCUGCUCCGAGUGGUCUAACUUCUAUCUUCUCCACGGGCCAACACUUCGAGACAAGUGAUCCAGAGAGAGAAAGAGAAAGAAGAUCUCCUGAAAAGGCCAGUAUUUCAGUGUGAAAUAUGAGUGAGCAAGCAAAAUCAGCAUCCAAACCUAAAGAAGAAGGAGAUGAUCAAGAGUUUUCACACUUGGUUGAACCUAUGACUGCCCAGCAGCCCAGUGAUGAGCAACUUGAACAAGCAGAGCCACCAGUUGAGAAUCAGGAUAUUAUACCUGGUCAAGAGCCAGAAGAUGCAAGAGUAUCUGAGGUGCAAGGGCCUGUCCUGGAGGCUGAGCCACAGGAACCGACUCUGGAAGACACUAGGGAUCAGUGUGGAGAUGGUCCUAACAUCAUGGAGCACAUUCUAUCAAAUUUGGAGCCUGUUACAGUGCCGGAAGCAGGUGAAGGGCAACCUUACCUGUAAAUGAAGACAAGCAGAAGCCAUGCACCAUACAUGCUGUCCUUAUUUUGGAAAUUGGACUAUUUAAGUCCUCUCAAUAAAGUUUGACAGUUUUCUCAAAAAGAAU